rnacentral:rRNA from 1 species
AUUGAACGCUGGCGGCAGGCCUAACACAUGCAAGUCGAGCGGAUGAAGGGAGCUUGCUCCUGGAUUCAGCGGCGGACGGGUGAGUAAUGCCUAGGAAUCUGCCUGGUAGUGGGGGAUAACGUCCGGAAACGGGCGCUAAUACCGCAUACGUCCUGAGGGAGAAAGUGGGGGAUCUUCGGACCUCACGCUAUCAGAUGAGCCUAGGUCGGAUUAGCUAGUUGGUGGGGUAAAGGCCUACCAAGGCGACGAUCCGUAACUGGUCUGAGAGGAUGAUCAGUCACACUGGAACUGAGACACGGUCCAGACUCCUGCGGGAGGCAGCAGUGGGGAAUAUUGGACAAUGGGCGAAAGCCUGAUCCAGCCAUGCCGCGUGUGUGAAGAAGGUCUUCGGAUUGUAAAGCACUUUAAGUUGGGAGGAAGGGCAGUAAGUUAAUACCUUGCUGUUUUGACGUUACCAACAGAAUAAGCACCGGCUAACUUCG